rnacentral:rRNA from 14 species
AGAGGGAAACAACCCAGACCGCCAGCUAAGGUCCCAAAAUAUUGCUAAGUGGGAAACGAUGUGGGAAGGCACAGACAGCUAGGAGGUUGGCUUAGAAGCAGCCAUCCUUUAAAGAAAGCGUAAUAGCUCACUAGUCGAGUCGGCCUGCGCGGAAGAUGUAACGGGGCUAAGUAAUAUACCGAAGCUGCGGACGCAAAGUUUACUUUGCGUGGUAGGGGAGCGUUGUGUAAGUGGCUGAAGGUAAGCUGAGAGGCUUGCUGGACAUAUCACAAGUGCGAAUGCUGACAUGAGUAACGAUAAUGGGGGUGAAAAACCCCCACGCCGGAAGACCAAGGUUUCCUGUCCCAUGCUAAUCAGGGCAGGGUAAGUCGGCCCCUAAGGCGAGGCGGAAACGCGUAGUCGAUGGGAAACGGAUUAAUAUUUCCGUACUUGUUAUAUCAGUGAAGGGGGGACGGAGAAGGUUAUGCUAGCCUGGCGUUGGUUGUCCAGGUGAAAGUGCGUAGAGUUGUUUCUUAGGCAAAUCCGGGAAACUACAUGCUCGAGACACGAGACGAGACUCUAAGGAGUUGAAGUUGCAAAUACCAUGCUUCCAGGAAAAGCCUCUAAACUUAUGAUAUAUCGAACCGUACCCCAAACCGACACAGGUGGUCAGGUAGAGAAUACCAAGGCGCUUGAGAGAACUCGGGUAAAGGAACUAGGCAAAAUGGUGCCGUAACUUCGGGAGAAGGCACGCUGGUGGUAAGUGAAAUCCCUGCGGGUGGAGCUGAAGCCAGUCGAAGAUACCAGGCCCCUGCGACUGUUUAUUAAAAACACAGCACUGUGCUAAAUCGAAAGAUGACGUAUACGGUGUGACGCCUGCCCGGUGCCGGAAGGUUAAUUGAUGGG